rnacentral:rRNA from 1 species
UACGGAGGGUGCAAGCGUUAAUCGGAAUUACUGGGCGUAAAGCGCACGCAGGCGGUUUGUUAAGUCAGAUGUGAAAUCCCCGGGCUCAACCUGGGAACUGCAUCUGAUACUGGUAAGCUUGAGUCUCGUAGAGGGGGGUAGAAUUCCAGGUGUAGCGGUGAAAUGCGUAGAGAUCUGGAGGAAUACCGGUGGCGAAGGCGGCCCCCUGGACGAAGACUGACGCUCAGGUGCGAAAGCGUGGGGAGCAAACAGG